rnacentral:rRNA from 1 species
UAGAGUUUGAUCCUGGCUCAGAACGAACGCUGGCGGCGCGUCUUAAGCAUGCAAGUCGAGCGGCAGGGUGCAGCGAUGUAUCCGAGAGCGGCGGACUGGUGAGUAACGCGUGGGUGACCUGCCUUGAGGCUGGGGAUAGCCGCUAGAAAUAGCGGGUAAUACCGAAUACGCCCACCGGACUAUGGUCUGGUGAGGAAAGGGGCUAAGGCCCCGCCUUGAGAUGGGCCCGCGUCCUAUUAGGUAGUUGGCGGGGUAAGAGCCCACCAAGCCUGAGAUAGGUAGCCGGCCUGAGAGGGUGAACGGCCACAUUGGGACUGAGAUACGGCCCAAACUCCUACGGGAGGCAGCAGCUAAGAAUAUUCCGCAAUGGACGAAAGUCUGACGGAGCGACGCCGCGUGGAUGAGGAAGGCCGAAAGGUUGUAAAGUCCUUUUGCGGACGAAGAAUAAGCGCGGUAAGGAAUGACCGCGUGAUGACGCUAGUCCGUGAAUAAGCCCCGGCUAAUUACGUGCCAGCAGCCGCGGUAACACGUAAGGGGCGAGCGUUGUUCGGAAUUAUUGCGCGUAAAGGGCGCGUAGGCGGUUACGUAAGUCUGGCGUGAAAGGCGUGAGCUUAACUCACGGACUGCGCUGGAAACUGGGUGACUUGGGUCAUGGAGGGGUAGUUGGAAUUCCUGGUGUAGGGGUGAA